rnacentral:rRNA from 1 species
AGUGAACGCUGGCGGUAGGCCUAACACAUGCAAGUCGAACGGCAGCACAGUAAGAGCUUGCUCUUACGGGUGACGAGUGGCGGACGGGUGAGGAAUACAUCGGAAUCUACUUUUUCGUGGGGGAUAACGUAGGGAAACUUACGCUAAUACCGCAUACGACCUACGGGUGAAAGCAGGGGAUCCUCGGACCUUGCGCGAUUGAAUGAGCCGAUGUCGGAUUAGCUAGUUGGCGGGGUAAAGGCCCACCAAGGCGACGAUCCGUAGCUGGUCUGAGAGGAUGAUCAGCCACACUGGAACUGAGACACGGUCCAGACUCCUACGGGAGGCAGCAGUGGGGAAUAUUGGACAAUGGGCGCAAGCCUGAUCCAGCCAUACCGCGUGGGUGAAGAAGGCCUUCGGGUUGUAAAGCCCUUUUGUUGGGAAAGAAAAGCAGCAGGUUAAUACCCCGCUGUUCUGACGGUACCCAAAGAAUAAGCACCGGCUAACUUCGUG